GACAGAGGAUGCAAGCGUUAUCCGGAAUGAUUGGGCGUAAAGCGUCCGCAGGUGGCAGUUCAAGUCUGCUGUCAAAGACCGGGGCUUAACUUCGGAGAGGCAGUGGAAACUGAACAGCUAGAGUAUGGUAGGGGCAGAGGGAAUUCCCGGUGUAGCGGUGAAAUGCGUAGAGAUCGGGAAGAACAUCGGUGGCGAAGGCGGCAUCCUGGACCGGUAUUGACACUGAGGCGCGAAAGCCAGGGGAGCAAACGGG
rnacentral:rRNA from 1 species